CAGCCGCCACGGUAAUACGAAGGGUGCAAGCGUUACUCGGAAUUACUGGGCGUAAAGCGUGCGUAGGUGGUGGUUUAAGUCCGUUGUGAAAGCCCUGGGCUCAACCUGGGAAUUGCAGUGGAUACUGGGUCACUAGAGUGUGUUAGAGGAUAGUGGAAUUUCCGGUGUAGCAGUGAAAUGCGUAGAGAUCGGAAGGAACAUCUGUGGCGAAGGCGACUAUCUGGGCCAACACUGACACUGAGGCACGAAAGCGUGGGGAGCAAACAGGAUUAGAUACCCCUGUAGUCCCUGUCUCUUAUAC
rnacentral:rRNA from 1 species